CGAAAAGUCCCAGAAGUUAAAAACCCUGGCGCUCAUUCGACGGUCGAAGCCAGUACCGGCCAACUUGGUUUGAAUUCAAUAUAUCGAACUACGAUAGUUAAAAAUAAAAAUUAUUUAAAAAAAAUACUCUCCUGAAUGUCCAUACACACAAAGGACGUAGAAUUGCUAACAAGUUAUUUCGACAAUCCUGUUACAUCAGGUUAUGGACCCAGGAACAUGAAGUUAAUACGAACAAAAAAAAAACUGUCGUGCGCGAAGGACAGCGUAGAUUUUUUUGCAACAGUCAUGUGAAGCAAAAAAAAAUUAAAAAUACGAGGCCUGGAAUUAAUCUGCGAUUCGCUGCGAACAAACGUCAUUUCCGUAAAAAAUGUCGAACUCAAACCAAACACUACUCGUCGAGAAACUGAAAGGAAGACAUAAUUUCCCAACAUGAAAAUUCGCGACGGAACCAUGGCUAGAACACGAUGACCUGUGGAGGCGCGUGAUCGGUACAGAAGAGUACAUAGCUGACAAGAAAAAGGCUACAAAGGCUGAGUCAAAGUUUAUCUUAUCUGUAGACCCCAUAAAUUACGUGGAUAUUCAGGAGUGUGCCACUGCAAAAGAGGUAUGGGAAAAAAUUCAAACUAUUUUCGUAGACUCGGGAUUGACGCGCAAGCUCAGCCUCUUAAGGACCUUGGUAACUACUCAAUUACGAAAAUGUAAAGACGUUGAAGAAUACGUAAACUUUGUAAUUACAAUAGCUCACAAACUCAACAGCAUAGGAUUUAAGGUACCGGACGAGUGGGUAGGAACGCUACUCCUGGCAGGACUACCAGAAGGAUAUCGCCCAAUGAUUAUGGGUCUGAAAAACUCUGGAACAGCAAUAACGGCAGAUUCAGUGAAGAAGAAACUGCUGCAAAACAUCAAGAAUACGAAGAUGGCUAUAAGUGUGAAUAGUUGAUACAGCAUUUUACACAAAUGGAACAAAACCAUAGUUGAAAAACAUGCAAUGUUUUCGGUAUAAGCGCACAGGACACUUUGCCAGCAGAUGCAAAGCAAAGCUAAUCGAAAAACUAAGUACAGACAAACAAAGCGAAAAAUAGAAAGCGCCUACUCAAGGUAACUCGUAUUGGACUUUUCUAUCGUCGAUGGCAAUCAAUGGUAGAAACUGGUUUGGCGACCCAUGUACGUCGCACCAUAUUUCGGCAGAGGAUGAGGCAUUAAAAAACACGAGGAAAUGCUCAGUAGAAAAAGUUCCUACGGCGAACAAGCAAGGUAUGUCAGCAGGGUCAACCUGAGAUAUCAGCCUAUAGGUUCCCGCAAGUACAGGUAAACAGGAGGUUACAGCAUACAAUGUGCUCCACGUACCGGAAACCUCAGUUGACCUGCUUUCGAUAAGUCAAAUGGUUAAAAGGAGUUUAUCUGUACAUUUUUCUCCAAAGAUCACAGAGAUCUGCGAUGAGGAGGGAUCAACCUAGGCACAAUGUCAUUAGAAGAACUUUGGCAUAGGAGACUAGGUCAUCUUCAUUACUAAGGCAUAUCACAACUCAGUAAUGAUUGAGCAACAGGAAUAAAGCAAAGUAACAUUGGAGAAAAAUUUUGUAUUCCAUACAUCAAGGGUAUGAUUGCAAAAAAACCGCUUCCAAAAGAAGGGAAAUGUACCAAAGAAAUACUUGAGAUAAUACAUACAGAUUUAUGUGGACCGAUAGAUAGCGCAUCUAUUGGAGGAUCGAGAUAUUUCAUAACCUUAAUAGAUGGCUUCAACCGUAAAGCAUUUAUCGAUUGCUUUAAAAAAAAAGGGUCAAGCCAAAGACGUUAUCGUGGAGUUCAAAACGUUUGUGGAAAAACAGACCGGGAGAGAAAUAAAAUCCAUCUGAUCCGACAACGGAGGUGAAUUCAUGAAUCGAGAGCUGAAAGGGAUCCUGAGGAAAUCUGGAAUCAGACAUCAGCGAACAGUCCCACAUUCGUCAGAACAGAAUGGUUUAUUUGAAAAAAUGAACCGCACUAUCAUUGAGAGAGA